UAAUACGGAGGGUGCAAGCGUUAUCCGGAUUCACUGGGUUUAAAGGGUGCGUAGGUGGGUUGGUAAGUCAGUGGUGAAAUCUCCAGGCUUAACUUGGAAACUGCCAUUGAUACUAUCAAUCUUGAAUACCGUGGAGGUCAGCGGAAUAUGUCAUGUAGCGGUGAAAUGCUUAGAUAUGACAUAGAACACCAAUUGCGAAGGCAGCUGGCUACACGAAUAUUGACACUGAUGCACGAAAGCGUGGGGAUCAAACAGGAUUAGAUACCCUGGUAGUCCACGCCCUAAACGAUGGAUACUCGACAUACGCGAUAUACUGUGUGUGUCUGAGCGAAAGCAUUAAGUAUCCCACCUGGGAAGUACGAUCGCAAGAUU
rnacentral:rRNA from 1 species